rnacentral:ncRNA from 1 species
CCCCCCCUUCCUCUCAUCCUCUAUCUACCCCCAUUCUAUGUCUCCCUCUCUUCUUCCCUUCCUCUCACUAUACCUCUCUCUACCUGGCCUCAGCUCAAAUUGCAAGGUAAAACUGGCCUAUGAAGCUGAAAUCUAUAGUAAUCGUCGAUCAACCAUACAACGGUGAAUCCAUUCCUAGGUCGUAUACACACUGCUCGUCACACUAUGGGAGUUUUCCAUGCCCCAAGUUGUUACCUUAAUCACAAGGAGGGGGAUGUUGAAGGUUGGGCUAGUCACUAGAGUGAAGUUUUAACAAGGUAGCUAUACUAGAAGGUGCAACCAGAUCACCUCCUUU